AGAAAUACCUAGAUACUCUAUAAAAAAUUAUGAUAAAAAUAAGCUAAAUACACUUGAUCACUUCAAAUCUCUACCUAGUAAAAGUAUAUCAAGUAUCACAUUGAAGAAGAAUGAUAGUAGUCAACAAAAUAUUAUAGGCUGUAUCAAUUUAGAAUUUAAAGGAAUAUCUCAAUUAAUAUUCACACCAAGGGGUAAAAAAAAUAGUGAUAACAAACAAAAAAAUACACUAAGUCACAACAAAUCACUAUCUAAUAAAUAUAUAUCUAAAAAAUCUAGGGAGAAUUUAAAUGGAAAUGAAGUUCCACUCAUUUCAGGUAUUAGUCUUAUUUAAAUUAUAUUUAUUUAAAAUCUUAGCAAUUCCCAC